AACGAACGCUGGCGGCAGGCUUAACACAUGCAAGUCGAGCGCCCCGCAAGGGGAGCGGCAGACGGGUGAGUAACGCGUGGGAAUCUACCCAUCUCUACGGAAUAACUCAGGGAAACUUGUGCUAAUACCGUAUACGCCCUUCGGGGGCAAGAUUUAUCGGAGAUGGAUGAGCCCGCGUUGGAUUAGCUAGUUGGUGGGGUAAAGGCCUACCAAGGCGACGAUCCAUAGCUGGUCUGAGAGGAUGAUCAGCCACAUUGGGACUGAGACACGGCCCAAACUCCUACGGGAGGCAGCAGUGGGGAAUAUUGGACAAUGGGCGCAAGCCUGAUCCAGCCAUGCCGCGUGAGUGAUGAAGGCCUUAGGGUUGUAAAGCUCUUUCACCGGAGAAGAUAAUGACGGUAUCCGGAGAAGAAGCCCCGGCUAACUUCGUGCCAGCCGCCGCCGUAACAC
rnacentral:rRNA from 1 species